GAUCAUCAUAAGCUCGUGCGAAUCGGAACGGUUGAAGGUGGAGACAAAAACGACCAGGAGAACGAUGAGCAAAUCGACGGCGAACUUGUUUUUACCAUCGAAAAGUUGCAGGAGAUCCAAGAUGAGCUCGAAAAGUUUUUUUGGCUGGUUCAGCGAAACCCAACAGAAAGAAGAAAUGGAGGAAAUUCAUAAUGAGGUUGUUGAAUGUGUUGAUGAUCAUCUCUUUCCGUCAAGUUCUUUGAUAACAGAUAGGUAGAAAGAGGAGAGAAGGAGAAAACAGAGAGUUAGAUGAGUUUAGAGAGAGAUUAAAAGUUUUUAUUUUUUAUAUUUUACACAAAAUUCUCUUAUUAUAAUUUAUUUAUUUAAUAAUCCUU